UGUUUAGAUCUAAAUCUAAGAUUACGUGGUGUUGAGUUACGCGCACUUGUGAUCAUUUUUCCCUACAAUACAACUACACAUACCUUAGUCUGAUCAAAUGACCUGAAUCAUUUUAUUCACGCCUUUCUCGAUCUUGGCAGCAGUUUUUGAAAGGAUUGCCAAAUGUGUUGUAUUGCGCGUAUCCGCAAGGUUGUGCGCCCUGCAGGCUGAGGAACAUCAUCUCAACCUUCUUACAACGGGUUAACGUCGCUGUUAUACUGACCUUGCUCAAUUGGUGGAUGGCGAAGUUUAAUUUGGUUCUGUGGUAGGUUUUCAAAAGUAUAUUUUCCGCUCUGCACAAAGCUUUGAGGGCCGCCAUGAUUUGGAGCUACAAACUUGGGGUGGGCGGAGAUGCAGGGUGAGCGCUGA